rnacentral:rRNA from 1 species
CACGUAGGGUGCGAGCGUUGUCCGGAAUUAUUGGGCGUAAAGAGCUCGUAGGCGGUGUGUCGCGUCGGCCGUGAAAACCUGCAGCUUAACUGUGGGCUUGCGGUCGAUACGGGCAUCACUGGAGUUCGGCAGGGGUGACUGGAAUUCCUGGUGUAGCGGUGAAAUGCGCAGAUAUCAGGAGGAACACCGGUGGCGAAGGCGGGUCUCUGGGCAACAACUGACGCUGAGGAGCGAAAGCGUGGGGAGCGAACAGG